rnacentral:rRNA from 1 species
UACGAAGGGAGCUAGCGUUGUUCGGAAUCACUGGGCGUAAAGCGCACGUAGGCGGAUGUGUCAGUCAGGGGUGAAAUCCCGGAGCUCAACUUCGGAACUGCCUCUGAUACAGCACGUCUUGAGUCCGAUAGAGGUGGGUGGAAUUCCUAGUGUAGAGGUGAAAAUUCGUAGAUAUUAGGAAGAACACCGGUGGCGAAGGCGGCGCUCUGGACCGAGGACUGACGCUGAGGCGCGAAAGCGUGGGGAGCAAACAGG